rnacentral:rRNA from 1 species
GCGGAGGGAUCAUUACCGAGUUUACAACUCCCAAACCCCUGUGAACAUACCACUUGUUGCCUCGGCGGAUCAGCCCGCUCCCGGUAAAACGGGACGGCCCGCCAGAGGACCCCUAAACUCUGUUUCUAUAUGUAACUUCUGAGUAAAACCAUAAAUAAAUCAAAACUUUCAACAACGGAUCUCUUGGUUCUGGCAUCGAUGAAGAACGCAGCAAAAUGCGAUAAGUAAUGUGAAUUGCAGAAUUCAGUGAAUCAUCGAAUCUUUGAACGCACAUUGCGCCCGCCAGUAUUCUGGCGGGCAUGCCUGUUCGAGCGUCAUUUCAACCCUCAAGCCCUCGGGUUUGGUGUUGGGGAUCGGCGAGCCCUUGCGGCAAGCCGGCCCCGAAAUCUAGUGGCGGUCUCGCUGCAGCCUCCAUUGCGUAGUAGUAAAACCCUCGCAACUGGAACGCGGCGCGGCCAAGCCGUUAAACCCCCAACUUCUGAAUGUUGACCUCGGAUCAGGUAGGAAUACCCGCUGAACUUAAGCAUAUCAAUAAGCCGGAGG